AUACGGAGGAUCCGAGCGUUAUCCGGAUUUAUUGGGUUUAAAGGGUGCGCAGGCGGCCAUUUAAGUCAGCGGUUAAAUCGUGGGGCUCAACCCCAUUCUGCCGUUGAUACUGGGUGGCUUGAUUGCGGUCGAGGUUGGCGGAAUUCGUUGUGUAGCGGUGAAAUGCAUAGAUAUGACGAAGAACACCGAUUGCGUAGGCAGCUGACCAGACCGCAAAUGACGCUCAGGCACGAAAGUGCGUGGAUCGAACAGGAUUAGAUACCCUGGUAGUCCGCACAGUAAACGAUGAAUACUUAUUUUCGGCGAUAUAAUGUCGGAGGCAAAGCGAAAGCGAUAAGUAUUCCACCUGGGGAGUACGCCGGCAACGGUGAAACUCAAAGGAAUUGACUGGG
rnacentral:rRNA from 1 species